rnacentral:rRNA from 1 species
GAUGAACGCUGGCGGCGUGCCUAAUACAUGCAAGUCGAGCGAACAGACGAGGAGCUUGCUCCUCUGACGUUAGCGGCGGACGGGUGAGUAACACGUGGAUAACCUACCUAUAAGACUGGGAUAACUUCGGGAAACCGGAGCUAAUACCGGAUAAUAUAUUGAACCGCAUGGUUCAAUAGUGAAAGACGGUUUUGCUGUCACUUAUAGAUGGAUCCGCGCCGCAUUAGCUAGUUGGUAAGGUAACGGCUUACCAAGGCAACGAUGCGUAGCCGACCUGAGAGGGUGGUCGGCCACACUGGAACUGAGACACGGUCCAGACUCCUACGGGAGGCAGCAGUAGGGAAUCUUCCGCAAUGGGCGAAAGCCUGACGGAGCAACGCCGCGUGAGUGAUGAAGGUCUUCGGAUCGUAAAACUCUGUUAUUAGUGAAGAACAAAUGUGUAAGUAACUAUGCACGUCUUGACGGUACCUAAUCAGAAAGCCACGGCUAACUACGUG